UUUUUUUUUUUUUGGUUGCAGGAUUUUGGUUUGGGUACACUUGUGACUAUCUUGUGGAUUUUCUUAUUGCAGGUUCUGAUUUUGGCAAGGACAAAUCAUUGGAGUUCCUGUAGCUCUGGAUCUAUUGAAGGCUUGGAGGAGCACUAGAGAUUUGUGCGUACAUGUUUGAACUCUACAGAUAUGAUUGCAAGGUGAUGGGAGGUUCACGUACAAUCUUGUUGCAAGGGAAGGAGAGGGCUGGAAAUUCUGAGACAUUGAGUCUAUAGUGUCGAAAACUAGGAAGUGACAUUAUUUUGACUGAAAAGUUCAAGGGAAAAGACAUUUACUCUCAAGAAGGGAUUGAUGUAGUUCCAGUAGGGUGGGCAAAGCAGAUUGAUGGAUAUAUCCAAGAUUAGCAUGCAUAUGCAGAUUUCUUAUUUGUGGUAUUAUGAAGUUAUAUAAAUUUGAAGUCUACUUAGUGUAGCAGCUAGCAGCUAGCAAUUUUGAA